UACAGAGGUCCCAAGCGUUGUUCGGAUUCACUGGGCGUAAAGGGUGCGUAGGCGGUCGGGUAAGUCUGAUGUGAAAUCUCACAGCUUAACUGUGAAACUGCAUUGGAUACUAUCCGGCUAGAGGAAUGGAGGGGAGACUGGAAUACUUGGUGUAGCAGUGAAAUGCGUAGAUAUCAAGUGGAACACCAGUGGCGAAGGCGAGUCGCUGGACAUUUCCUGACGCUGAGGCGCGAAAGCCAGGGGAGCAAACGGG
rnacentral:rRNA from 1 species